AUUCCUUGUCGGGUAAGUUCCGACCUGCACGAAUGGUGUAACCAUGGCCACGCUGUCUCCACCCGAGACUCAGUGAAAUUGAAAUCGCAGUGAAGAUGCUGUGUACCCGCACCUAGACGGAAAGACCCCGUGAACCUUUACUACAGCUUGGCACUGAACAUUGAACCUACAUGUGUAGGAUAGGUGGGAGGCUUUGAAGCACAGUCGCUAGAUUGUGUGGAGCCGUCCUUGAAAUACCACCCUUGUAUGUUUGAUGUUCUAACAUUGGUCCCUUAUCGGGAUUGUGGACAGUGUCUGGUGGGUAGUUUGACUGGGGCGGUCUCCUCCCAAAUAGUAACGGAGGAGCACGAAGGUUAGCUAAUCACGGUCGGACAUCGUGAGGUUAGUGCAAUGGCAUAAGCUAGCUUAACUGCGAGACAGACACGUCGAGCAGGUACGAAAGUAGGUCAUAGUGAUCCGGUGGUUCUGUAUGGAAGGGCCAUCGCUCAACGGAUAAAAGGUACUCCGGGGAUAACAGGCUGAUGAUGCCCAAGAGUCCAUAUCGACGGCAUUGUUUGGCACCUCGAUGUCGGCUCAUCACAUCCUGGGGCUGAAGUCGGUCCCAAGGGUAUGGCUGUUCGCCAUUUAAAGUGGUACGCGAGCUGGGUUUAGAACGUCGUGAGACAGUUCGGUCCCUAUCUGCCGUGGGUGUAGGAUACUUGAGAGGAGUUGCCCCUAGUACGAGAGGACCGGGGUGAACGAUCCACUGGUGUACCAGUUGUUCCGCCAGGAGCAGUGCUGGGUAGCUAUGAUCGGACAGGAUAACCGCUGAAGGCAUCUAAGCGGGAAGCCCCCCUCAAAACAAGGUAUCCCUGAGGGCCGUGGAAGACCACCACGUCAAUAGGCCGGAGAUGUAAGCGCAGCAAUGCGUUCAGUUGACCGGUACUAAUC
rnacentral:rRNA from 1 species